rnacentral:lncRNA from 1 species
UAAGAAUUUUUUUCUUCUUUUUUUUAAGAAAAUUGGAUAUUCUACAUUGUUAGUUGUGUCCUCGUCGGGCUUAAGUAUAUUCACAAGUACCAAAUAAUAUGACAUUCGUCUAACUAGACUUAGCCGAUCUUAUGAGAGCCGUCUUCCGUCCACAACAGUCAUCUGAAAAUCAUGCUCUAUUCGUUGUAUAAUUCUUAUUCAAACGAUACUCAUUUCAUAUUUCCGACUAAUAAUUGGCUAUGAUACCAACUGCGACACCUUACUUUUCAGAAAUUUAUCCAUCCUAAAAUUACAGUUCUUGAGCCUAGCGACUGCCCAAUAUAUUAUAACCAAUUUAUCAUAUAUAAAACUAUUCUAGAUACUAGGGAUGUCAUA